UUGGGAUGACAGUUCCUGGGAUAGAUCGUGAAUACUCAAUAUGACGAACAGGAUUCCAACUCAGAAUACAAGAGAUCAAGUCUAGUGGUGUUUAACUAUCUGAUGCUGCGUAGGCGAUUAAGAUGGACGAGGGGGAGGAGAGAUGAUUCCCUGGCAAUAUUCUCACGAAACUGGCUUCGUGUAAUAACCUCUAUCCCUUCAUUUUCUCAGACCGUCAUUUGGUACACGCAGAACGUAGCUGACCUCUAUUGGGGUCUACAGCUAUCUGCCCCGGGUCGUGGCGUGACCUGUUGUAUUGCUUCUAAAUUAACUGACUGACCACAAGUACAACCCAUGUUCUCUGUAUCCGCUAACAAGAGCAGAACUUUCUUAUCAUCAAUAUUAAUCACGAGACAGACUUCAAACCCUUUAAUGCUGAAUUGUAAAUUUAAGUACCAGCUGCUUUAAAAACAAGUAAGUCUCCUUCUUGGAGUAAACAGCAAUUACUGCCUCCAGCAACAUCAACCAAUCGAUCUUUUAAUGGAAAGGCGUUGUUUGUGUUUUCUUUGAGAGUCCUGCGGCUGACAGACAGAACGUGCCAGGGGAGGAAGGGGGAAGCACGGGCCGUCCCAUUUUGAUGCAUUACAACAUGCGCUGGAAAUACCGACUCACAGUCCCAUCCAAUCCCAACUUUUUUUUCCCAUUAUUAUUAUCGCGCUACCUGUUUGGGAUUGCGCUACCCCUCUCUCUCUCCCUGCUUGCGAGCGCUGGCAGCGAACUCUGCUCGGUACGGAUUGGACUGCGAGCUGUCCCGGACAAUACAGUAGGAGCGAGUGUACUGCGGCAGGCAGCAACGGCGACACCGAGAGUCGCAACGCCAGGAUCUAUCGUCAACUGCAGCGGGACCCGGGACUUUUUCGCUCACUCAGAUCACUCAGCCUGCGAUGUGUGUUAACAAGUUCCGCAGAGGACGGACGUUUACUUGUAUGGAAUUCGUAGAAUCGUUUCCACGAAAAUGUGUUGAUGGCCCCACUGAAUGAGCAGGUGAGGAAUUGCAGAAGGAAAAAGAAACAAGAAAGGGGGUCUGUGUUCCUGAGUUGGCCCGGAGCGUCUGCGAGCAUUUAGAUCCGUACGCACCAACAGUUUGCGCCUCCUUCCUAACUUGAGAAAUUCAGUGGCCGAGAUCAGAGAAUUGAAAGUACCGGAGACCAAGCUGAGUCUGGCCGGUAAAUUGAGAACGUCUUUCUCGGACAAUGUUAAAGACGAAAACCAAGGAAAGCAGUACGCAUUUAAACUCUUUGAAGUACACUGCCAGGAGUUCUCAAGGCCUUGCGGUAAACCGUCUUCUGACGAUUAGUUAACACUACGAUGGGACACUACAAAGGAUGAAGACAGCUGAAGCAUAUUAAUGAUAGAGGGUGUUCAGUCGCCGUGGUGUUAUUAUCAAAGAUGGAGGCAAUAUGCUCCUCCGAAACAUUGGUGUAUAUCUACAAGUACUCAUGACAUUGUUACAACCCAGAAAACCGAAUUCGUCAUCAGCGCUGUAAGAAAAUCAAGUCGGAAAAACGUAAAUCACUGUUCAUCAACUGUCAGUCACAGGAUGUGCAAAAUAUAGUGGUUUGUGGGUGGUGGAAACACUAAAGGCAGCCAGCACGUUGCGUUAAUGCAACGAGAAGACAAAACCCAGCAUCAGGUCGGGGCGCCUACACACCCCUUCUCCGACCCCGCAACCAUCUCCUCUCUGCCCACUAACUGGAGCUCCGAUUAGACAAACUGUCCCAGCGGCUCCAGUAACAGAGACUGCAAGAGGAAUAAGGAGGGAGAUGGUAAUUAUUCAACUUGCUCAGAUAGCCAUCUCAGAACUACGGGUCUCCUCUCCCAGUUGCAUGGAGUAACGGAAUUAUUGGUCCCACUUACUCUUGCCUUAUCACAGAUGAAGAUAAAACCUGGACACAAGUGUUAUUGCACCUAUAGGGAGGCACAAAUAAAGUGGGACUUAAAACGUAGGCUUCACUUCACAUUAAUGUAAUACUGCCACGCACCAUUGUAUUGCUUUGUGUUUUGCUGGAUCCAACUUCUUUAUACGAAAACUGCUUUGGUGAGGUGCAGUAGAAUUGUAUUCGACGAUCAAUGAAAUACAUGAUUAAAUUGUCUUUGAAGCAUGAACGACAAGUAUUAGUUGGUUACAGAAUUUUGUGUUUAAGUUUGUUAGAAUUUAAGACAGGAGAUACGCUGGAAAGAUGAACAGAUUUAAGGUUGAAAGGCAGACUGGAAUUAAAAUAUUAAAAUAAAAAUUGUUGAGAAGA